GAUGAACGCUGGCGGCGUGCUUAACACAUGCAAGUCGAACGAUGAAAGCGGGAGCUUGCUCCUGCUGGAUUAGUGGCGAACGGGUGAGUAACACGUGAGCAAUCUGCCCCGAACUCUGGGAUAAGCGUUGGAAACGACGUCUAAUACCGGAUACGACGCGCGAAGGCAUCUUCUGCGCGUGGAAAGAACUUCGGUUCGGGAUGAGCUCGCGGCCUAUCAGCUAGUUGGUGAGGUAACGGCCCACCAGGGCGACGACGGGUAGCCGGCCUGAGAGGGUGACCGGCCACACUGGGACUGAGACACGGCCCAGACUCCUACGGGAGGCAGCAGUGGGGAAUAUUGCACAAUGGGCGCAAGCCUGAUGCAGCGACGCCGCGUGAGGGAUGACGGCCUUCGGGUUGUAAACCUCUUUCAAUAGGGACGAAGCGCAAGUGACGGUACCUAUAGAAGAAGGACCGGCCAACUACGUGCCAGCAGCCGCGGUAAAAC
rnacentral:rRNA from 1 species